AUGUAUUUUUCGUUCUCUACUUCCUGUACAUUAUUUCAUUGUUAACUCUACGAGUCGAAUCCGCCAGCUGUUCUCAUAGUGAUUAUCAAGUCGCAUUAAUUGAGAAAAUUGAGAAACAGGUGAACUUUACAUGCUGUUAAUAAAAGCAUGUUCAACUAAUGGCCAUUCAUUCUUUAAUUAAUCGUGAAAAUAAAUGGCACGGUUUUCAUAGUAAAGCUGUACUUUACAUUUUGCAUUUUGUCAAUCACUUCAUAGACGCGAAGUCGAAACAUGGGAAUAACAUUUGAGGUACGUUAUCCUGCAAGUAGAAAGAGAAACGACGGCUUGCGAAUAUUGCGAAUAUAUUUUCCCGUAUUUAGAUUCCUCAACGUAACGACAUCGAUCGAACGUGAUGCAACCUAACGCUUCUAGAUCUUUUCUUACGGAACAUUGUAAAGGGCAGAAUCUAUGCGAAAAAUCAAUACUUGAUCGGACAAACUUUACCCCCUUUCAUGCUCGAUAAUAUGUACAUCGUACUUUUUAAAGUUAUUAAUUGACUAUUAAUUAACUAAAUUACAUUUGUAUUUGUUUCCAAUAAAACUAACCUCUCAAAUUUUAGUGCAUUUUAGUAGCGUAUCUUAGCUUUCAUUACAAAUCAUUCGAGAAAAAACAUUUGAUUCUGUUGUUAAUAAUUAAUAACAUACAACUGUUCUUACGAUUCAGAUCAAAAGGCAAUUCAGCCUUGAAGUGAGACACGAGAAAAUGUGAUAUGAAAUUUCAGUAAAAGAGCAGCGAUUCAAAGAGAUAGUUUUGAGGGAGAUAGUUGAAAGAUUCAUAUUUUCUGGAUACAACCAAACAAAUGGAAUCCAAACAAAGAUUUGUUUCACCUAAUAGAUAUUAUAACAGAUAAUACAUUUUAAAUAUAUUAACUUUUAUAUAUUGUUGCACGUUACAUGCAUCUGAUGCAUUUUUCAUCUUAGAUUGUCUCACAAAUGCAAGAAAUAAUAAUUGAUAAUAAUUUUUAAAGGAUUUAAAGUGGGACACCUUUUGCAAUAAUUGUGCGACUUAACAAAAACGACUCUUGUCAAACUUUUAAAUAAUAACGUAUUCUAGUAGUUAGCAGCGAAACUUACAACGAUAAUGGUAUAUAUUACGAUAUUAUAAAAAAUGCUCAGUGUCGAAUGAAGAUUAAUCUGUUGUUAAAAGUCCUUGUCACGAGGUACGCAAUUCCGCGAUUUAAUUAAAUAUGAUGCUUCUAUGGUGUAUAAUUAUAAAUACAUUUAUAAAGAUUAUGUAAUAUAACGCAUAUUUUGUCAUAUAAAAAUUGAUACGUAUUAAAGAAACAUUAAAGACUAUUAUUUUUUCUUGCGUGGAAAUAGACAAACUGGAAAAUGAGGAAUAUAUAUUUUGUCAUAAAUCUCUUAACUUUUGAACUGUUCGACUUCAUUGUUGGAAUAUGUUAUUAAUGUUUAGCUUUGUCAACAAACAAAAAAAGAAACAAAUGACUUAUUUCCAUCAAUUUAUUUAUCGUAAACCGAUAUCAUUAUGAGCCUUUCGAUCGUAAUCUUAAUAUAUUUCAAAGUGACUACCUUUUUUCCUUGAAAUCAAAUCCUUAAGUACAUCGAACGUCUGUAUGUCGGUAUGUCCGAUUUCGAUGCAAUUACAAAUCACACAUGCUUCUUCAUUAAUGGAAAAGCAAUGGUCCUCGGUUAAUAGCAUUGGCAAUGUCCACAUUUUUUUGCAUGCGUGCCGUUUUAUGGUGGCGAUUGUGAUAUUAAACGCUUAAACAAAGUAUCUAUGUAUGUUUACGUCUUACGCGAAUGAGAUCGUGCGAAUGCUCGAAGCAACAGGAAGAUACUGUAUCAAUAACAUCGAUAUCUGUUACUUUAGGCCUUGUGUGAACGUUAAGCGAGUUUAUCCAAAUGUUCGUAAGUACAUAUUAUACAUAUGUACUGCUUGCAGCUUGUAAUAUCCGAUAGUUGCGCAUAUAUGUGACUUUCAAAUGUAUUAUUUGUAAUUUGUAAAUAAAUUCGAUUGAACCCUCGGCCGAUCGCGAUCGAGCCAUUUCAGAUUUGAAAUGCGAACGAAAUCAAACAAUUAUACGUAUUUAUAAUUGUCGUUAUUCGAUAUAGUUUGGAUAGUUGUAUAGCGUCCUCGAUUGUUGUUGCAUAUCGUGGUUUAUAGUUUUGUAAGUUUCGUAAUUUUCAUGAAUAUGCAAAACAUUUAUGAAUGA